rnacentral:lncRNA from 1 species
CCCUCUUCACUACAAAUGUGCUCAUCAGUGAGCUCAGAUGAAUUAUUCCGACUUUCCUUUCUCUGGAGAAACAUCCAUUGACAGCAGUGACAUCUUGCUUGAAGGAAGAUGGUGCUGAACAGAAAUCACAGCUGCUGUGGGAAAUGGUAUGUUACCGUGCCCAGCUGCUGUUUGCAGCCAACGAGCUAUUUCUGAGCAGGUUUCUAGUUUUAGACCAACGGAAACCUGUGAUUAUCAAAGAAGUUGUGAGAACCUCGUGAAUGCCCCAUCCCUGGAAGUCUUUAAGAACCGGUUGGAUGGGGCCCUGGGAAACAUGAUCUAGUGGAAGGUGUCCUUACCCAUGGCAGAGAAACUAGGUUACCUUUAAAGUUUCCUUUGAACACAAAGCAUUCCAUGAUUCUAUGAAUUUAGCCAUUACUGGGAGCUGUGAAAAUUUCACCAAGGAUACAAAAUUGCCAUGAAAAGAUCUAUGUAUUUUCUAACUUCCAAAUACGAAGUUACUCCACAUGCAUUUAAUCACUGUGUAUUUCUGUGUGUACGUUGUGAGCCCUGGGAAAACGUCCAGCAACCGAAGGAAAAACCGAAGGUUAAAUGAGAUCAAGUAACAAUGCUUUGGCUUUGGACAUGGAACAUGAAGAAGAGUUCCCACAACUGAAGUGGUUCAUGUGACAAGUGUCAAGUUUGUGAGUUUGAGUCUAAUUUUCAUACUUUCUUACAUCCUUUCGAGAUGAGCUGGCGUCUUUGCAAAGCUUAUUUUAAAACAAGUUUCUUCUAUAUUGGGUUUUUAUUUUUUAUAUUUUGAUAAGAAUGUUAGGAUCCUAGAAAUUUGUGGCAGACUUUCUAUGUGGUUUUAUUUUUCAUAUAAUCUCCAUACUGUUGUCAUACUACUACUGUUUGUAGACAUUGCUGGCUAACUUGCUUGAAGAGUCAUUUUCACUCUACAGUGCUGAACAGUUGGCUGUACGCAUUAUAUUCUGUACAGGAUAACAGGAUUCAUCCUGUUCUAUAAAGUAGAUAUAAAUCAUUUAUUGGUUGGGAGUUAAACAAUGUGAAAUAAAGCAGAGUACUGGACAUUUUUAUACUUAAUUCCAACAUUUAUGUCAACAAUUUUCAUUCAGUUCCCUCCAUCUGUAUGAUUUAUUUUUUAUUUUUAUUUUUUAAAUCCAAAGAUCAGUCUCUAGGUAUUGUGCUGUGUUAUCCCAGAGAAAUCCCCAUGAAUGGACUGCUAGAAUAAUUUAACCAUACAUUGUAAUUUUUAAUCUUUUCAGGCUAAGGAUAAAAAUAAAUUGAUCUUU